rnacentral:tRNA from 1 species
GCCACGGUGGUCUAGCGGUUAGAACGCUGGGCUUGUAAUCCUGGGGUCUCGGGUUCGAUUCCCGGCGGUGCCG